AACGUACGCUGGCGGCACGCCUAACACAUGCAAGUCGAACGAAGUAGCAAUACUUAGUGGCAGACGGGUGAGUAACAUGUGGGUAUCUUCCCUAUGGCCUGGAAUAACACGAGGAAACUUGUGCUAAUACUGGAUAAGUCUUUACGGAGAAAGCUUUAUGCACCAUUGGAUGAGCCCGCACUUGAUUAGUUUGUUGGUAGGGUAAUGGCCUACCAAGACUUUGAUCAAUAGCUGAUUUGAGAGGAUGAUCAGCCACAUUGGGACUGAGACACGGCCCAAACUCCUACGGGAGGCAGCAGUGGGGAAUCUUGCACAAUGGAGGAAACUCUGAUGCAGCGAUGCCGCGUGAGUGAAGAAGGCCUUUGGGUUGUAAAGCUCUUUCGUCGGGGAAGAAAAUGACUGUACCCGAAUAAGAAGGUCCGGCUAACUUCGUGCCAGCAGCCGCGGUAAUACGAAGGGACCUAGCGUAGUUCGGAAUUACUGGGCUUAAAGAGUUCGUAGGUGGUUGAAAAAGUUAGUGGUGAAAUCCCAGAGCUUAACUCUGGAACUGCCAUUAAAACUUUUCAGCUAGAGUAUGAUAGAGGAAAGCAGAAUUUCUAGUGUAGAGGUGAAAUUCGUAGAUAUUAGAAAGAAUACCAAUUGCGAAGGCAGCUUUCUGGAUCAUUACUGACACUGAGGAACGAAAGCAUGGGUAGCGAAGAGGAUUAGAUACCCUCGUAGUCCAUGCCGUAAACGAUGUGUGUUAGACGUUGGAAAUUUAUUUUCAGUGUCGCAGCGAAAGCGAUAAACACACCGCCUGGGGAGUACGACCGCAAGGUUA
rnacentral:rRNA from 1 species